rnacentral:rRNA from 1 species
UAUUCCCCACUGCUGCCUCCCGUAGGAGUCUGGGCCGUGUCUCAGUCCCAAUGUGGCCGUUCAACCUCUCAGUCCGGCUACCGAUCGUCGCCUUGGUGGGCCGUUACCUCACCAACUAGCUAAUCGGACGCGAGUCCAUCUCUCAGCGAUAAAUCUUUGACAUACCGACCAUGCGGUCAAUAUGUGUUAUGCGGUAUUAGCGCUCUUUUCAGGGCGUUAUUCCCCACUGAGAGGCAGGUUACUCACGCGUUACUCACCCGUCCGCCACUAAGUUAAGCAAGGAAAUCCACUAGCAAGCUAGCAUCAAACCAGCGCUUAACUCCGUUCGACUUGCAUGUGUUAAGCACGCCGCCAGCGUUCAUCCUGAGCCAA